UGUUGGAUAGGUACCCGUAGUACCUAUAUACCAAGACUAGUUUUGCUUACAUAUUAGUGAACACUUAAGUAACUAAAUAAUUGAACGGGUUCCAUGGUGAAUGUGAAAUGUGACAUCAUUUUUGUUUACAAUUCAAUUUUGGCUGAAGUAAUGAAAUUACAGAGUUCCUUGAUGACGGUGUUUGUUCGGUGUUUCAAUAAAGCAGGUAAGUUGGUAAAAUCGUUGAAAAUAUUGAAGUUACAUCUUAGGUGGUGAAAUUUAUUGCACUCAAAGAUCAAAUGAUUUUCCGUUUCAGGUACAUUACAAACAUCACACAAAUUAGUGUCUGUCAGCUUCAUUUUAAACAGGUACGUUUUGCAGUAUGAGUGACCCGCUAGGUGUCUAUUGAUAAUUUUAAUUUCUCCGGGUUCUAAAGACAGUUCGGCAUGUCAGUGUUUUUUUUGGUGGAGAUGGAAAAAACUAGAGAAGGCUUCAUAUAUUUCCGCACGAGCAUCCUUAACGGCUAAAUUGGACGAAAUGACACAGCCAGCAUCCACGGCUUGUCGGACAAAAUAAUCUGCGCGUUCAUUCGAUUGGAUUCCAAUAUGGGAAGGAACCCACAGAAAAGACCUGGUAAGGGGGAUUUUCUGAAUUUGUCUAAUAUGUCUAAACCUUCCGUGCAGUUCAGCGAGAUCUGAUACUUUGGAAAAGGAUGAAUGUUCAUAAACAGGGAUUGAAGGUGUAACAUUGAUGGGACUGGCUACUGGAUGAUUGAUAAUGGUGCGAGGAGCUGCUAUUUUACUGUACAUUAUUUUUGUGAUUCUUCUGUUUAUUUCUUCAUUAAAGUUUCUUAUAUUUUGAGUAGAAGAUUUACUCAUUGGAGGAAAUUGAGAAUUGUA